GGCAGAACAAUGGAAGAUUUAAAGUUUUCAACGAGAAUUUCCCCCCAAACAUUAGGAAGAAUAAUUCCAGAGACCUGCUCAGCUAUUGUCAAGGCCUUGAAUGACUAUUGCAAGGUACCGAAUACAGCCGAGGAGUGGAAACAAAUUGCACAGGAGUACGGG